CCGCCUCCCCCUACCCAAGGAUAUUUAAUUUGCCUCGGGAAUCUCUACUCCAGAGGGGAACUCAGGAGGGAAGGCGCGCGCUCGCGCACGCCUAGAGGGGCAACGCGGGGACCCCCAACCACUGCCUCCCUGCGCUGGACUCCAGUCGGGGCGGUGAGAGAUGCAUCUUCGCUCCUUCCCGGUAGCGGCAGUGGCUGAGAAGAGACUUGGCUCUCAAAGGAUCAGGGCUGCCCUCAUCCCGGACUCACUGCCUCUCUCCCGGGCGUGAAGCGCCGGUAAAACUCCGGUCGGGGUCUCUCUUUGGUGCAGCCGCUGCGUCCUCCUCCAGUUGCCCCUCCCCGGUGCGGUGCGGGAGACUGUGUGGAUUUCGGAGUCUGGGGUUUCUGCUGCCUCCAGCCCUAUUUGCAUGUGUGGGGCUGUGGCGAGGAGCCUUUGCCCCCCACCCGGUUGUUUUUCGGCGCCUCCCUCUGCUCAGCGGCGGUGGUGGCAGCGGCAGCAUGGCAAGCCCUCUGGAGAGCGAGGGCUUCUCGGACGUGCGCAAGGUGGGCUACCUGCGCAAACCCAAGAGCAUGCACAAACGCUUCUUCGUACUGCGCGCGGCCAGCGAGGCUGGGGGCCCGGCGCGCCUCGAGUACUACGAGAACGAGAAGAAGUGGCGGCACAAGUCGAGCGCCCCCAAACGCUCAAUCCCCCUUGAGAGCUGCUUCAACAUCAACAAGCGUGCUGACUCCAAGAACAAGCACCUGGUGGCUCUCUACACCCGGGACGAGCACUUUGCCAUCGCGGCGGACAGCGAGGCCGAACAAGACAGCUGGUACCAGGCUCUCCUGCAGCUGCACAACCGCGCCAAGGGCCACCACGAUGGAGCUGCGGUCCUCGGGGCGGGAGGCGGCGGGAGCAGCUGCAGCGGCAGCUCGGGAGUUGGUGAGGCUGGGGAGGACCUCAGCUACGGGGACGGGCCCCCAGGACCCACAUUCAAAGAAGUCUGGCAGGUGAUCCUGAAGCCCAAGGGCCUGGGUCAGACAAAGAACCUGAUUGGUAUAUACCGCCUCUGCCUGACAAGCAAGACCAUCAGCUUCGUGAAGCUGAACUCGGAGGUAGCGGCUGUGGUGCUGCAGCUGAUGAACAUCAGGCGCUGCGGCCACUCGGAGAACUUCUUCUUCAUCGAGGUGGGUCGUUCUGCCGUGACGGGGCCUGGGGAGUUCUGGAUGCAGGUGGAUGACUCCGUGGUGGCCCAGAACAUGCACGAGACCAUCCUGGAGGCCAUGCGGGCCAUGAGCGAUGAGUUCCGCCCUCGCAGCAAGAGCCAGUCCUCGUCCAACUGCUCCAACCCCAUCAGCGUCCCCCUGCGCCGGCACCAUCUCAACAACCUCCCGCCCAGCCAGGUGGGGCUGACACGCCGAUCACGCACCGAGAGCAUCACGGCCACCUCCCCAGCCAGCAUGGUGGGCGGGAAACCAGGCUCCUUCCGGGUCCGCGCCUCCAGCGACGGUGAAGGCACCAUGUCUCGCCCGGCCUCGGUGGACGGUAGUCCUGUGAGUCCCAGCACCAACAGAACCCACGCCCACCGGCACCGGGGCAGCGCACGGCUGCACCCCCCGCUCAACCACAGCUGCUCCAUCCCCAUGCCAGCUUCCCGCUGCUCGCCUUCGGCCACCAGCCCGGUCAGUCUGUCAUCCAGCAGCACCAGUGGCCAUGGCUCCACCUCAGAUUGUCUCUUCCCACGGCGGUCUAGUGCUUCGGUGUCUGGUUCCCCCAGCGAUGGCGGUUUUGUCUCCUCUGAUGAGUAUGGCUCCAGUCCCUGCGAUUUCCGGAGUUCCUUUCGCAGUGUCACUCCGGAUUCCGUGGGUCACACCCCACCGGCCCGCGGUGAGGAGGAGCUAAGCAACUAUAUCUGCAUGGGCGGCAAGGGGCCCUCAACCCUGACUGCUCCCAACGGUCACUACAUUUUGUCACGGGGUGGCAAUGGCCACCGCUACACCCCAGGAACAGGCUUGGGCACUAGUCCAGCCUUGACUGGGGAUGAAGCAGCCAGUGCUGCCGAUCUGGAUAAUCGAUUCCGAAAGAGAACUCACUCGGCAGGCACAUCCCCUUCCAUUUCCCACCAGAAGACACCGUCUCAGUCCUCAGUGGCUUCCAUUGAGGAGUAUACAGAGAUGAUGCCUGUCUACCCACCAGGAGGUGGCAGUGGAGGCCGACUGCCAGGACACAGGCACUCCGCCUUCAUGCCCACCCAUUCCUACCCUGAGGAGGGUUUGGAAAUGCACCCCUUGGAGCGUCGGGGGGGCCACCAUCGCCCAGAAAGCUCCACCCUCCACAGUGAUGAUGGCUACAUGCCCAUGUCCCCAGGGGUGGCCCCAGUGCCCAGCAGCCGAAAGGGCAGUGGAGACUAUAUGCCCAUGAGCCCCAAGAGCGUAUCUGCCCCACAGCAGAUCAUCAACCCCAUCAGACGCCAUCCCCAGAGAGUGGACCCCAAUGGUUACAUGAUGAUGUCCCCCAGCAGCAGCUACUCCCCUGACAUUGGAGGUGGCCCUGGCAGCAGCAGCAGCAGCAGCAGCAGCAGGGCUGUCCCUUCCGGGAGCAGCUAUGGAAAGCUGUGGACAAACGGGGUAGGGGGCCACCAUGCUCAUGUCUUGCCUCACCCCAAACCCCCAGUGGAGAGCAGCAGUGGCAAGCUCUUGCCUUGCACAGGUGACUACAUGAACAUGUCGCCAGUGGGGGACUCCAACACCAGCAGCCCCUCCGACUGCUACUACGGUCCUGAGGACCCCCAGCACAAGCCAGUCCUCUCCUACUACUCAUUGCCAAGAUCCUUUAAGCACACCCAGCUCCCCGGGGAGUUGGAGGAGGGUGCCCGGCAUCAGCACCUUCGCCUUUCCGCUAGCUCUGGUCGCCUUCUCUAUGCUGCAACAGUGGAAGAUUCUUCCUCCUCCACCAGCAGCGAUAGCCUGGGUGGGGGAUACUGUGGGGCUAGGAUGGAGCCCAGCCUUUCACAUUCCCACCAUCAGGUUCUGCAGCUCCAUCUGCCUCGAAAGGUGGACUCAGCUGCUCAGACCAAUAGCCGCCUGGCCCGGCCCACGAGGCUGUCCCUGGGGGAUCCCAAGGCCAGCACCUUACCUCGGGCUGGAGAGCAACAGCAGCAGCAGCAGCAGCAGCAGCAACAGCAACAGCAGCAGCCCCUGCUGCACCCUCCAGAGCCCAAGAGCCCAGGGGAAUAUGUGAAUAUUGAAUUUGGGAGUGAUCAGCCUGGCUACUUGUCUGGCCCUGUGGCUUCCCACAGCUCACCUUCUGUCAGGUGUCCAUCCCAGCUCCAGCCAGCUCCCAGAGAGGAAGAGACUGGCACUGAGGAGUACAUGAAAAUGGACUUGAGGCCAGGCCGGAGGGCAGCCUGGCAGGAGAGCACUGGGGUUGAGGUGGGCAGAGUGGGCCCCGCACCUCCCGGGGUUGCUAGCAUUUGCAGGCCUACCCGUGCAGUGCCCAGCAGUAGGGGUGACUACAUGACCAUGCAGAUGGGUUGUCCCCAUCAGAGCUACGUGGACACCUCACCAGUUGCCCCUGUGAGCUAUGCUGACAUGCGGACAGGCAUUGCUGCAGAGGAGGUUAGCCUGCCCAGGGCCACCAUGGCUGCUGCCUCCUCAGCCUCGGCAGCCUCUGCUUCCCCCGCUGGGCCUCAAGGGGUAGCAGAGCUGGCUGCCCGCUCAUCCCUGCUGGGGGAACCGCAAGGACCUGGGGGCAUGAGCGCCUUCACCCGGGUGAACCUCAGUCCUAAUCGAAACCAGAGUGCCAAAGUGAUCCGUGCAGACGCACAAGGGUGCCGAAGGAGGCACAGCUCCGAGACCUUCUCCUCAACACCCAGUGCCACCCGGCUGGGCAACACGGUGCCCUUUGGAGCAGGGGCAGCAGGAGGGGGCAGUGGCGGUAGCAGCAGCAGCAAGGAUGUGAAACGCCACAGCUCUGCUUCCUUUGAGAAUGUGUGGCUGAGGCCUGGGGAACUUGGGGGAGCCCCUAAGGAGCCAGCCCAACUGUGUGGGGCUGCUGGGGAUUUGGAGAAUGGUCUUAACUACAUAGACCUGGAUUUGGUCAAGGACUUCAAACAAUGCCCUCAGGAGCGCACCCCUCAACCACAGCCACCCCCACCCCCAUCCCCACCCCCUCAUGAACCCCUGGGCAGCGGUGAGAACAGCUCCACCCCCCGCUCCAGUGAGGAUUUAAGCGCGUAUGCCAGUAUCAGUUUCCAGAAGCAGCCAGAGGACCAUCAGUAGCUCAACUGGACAUCACAGCAGGUGCGUUUCAUGGUGACAAAGAAGACAAAACUGCUUUUAACCUUGUGCUUGAAUUCUGUUCUUCGCCUCUGCCCCUUCCUGUUUUUUCCCAUUGCUUCCUCAGGGAGAAUGCACUUACAUUCUCAGGGCACACAAGAUGCUCACCCCACAAUGACAUCUGGCAGAGAGUCAAAUAAAUAUGUAGAAGCAGCCACAGGAGGGCUUUUUCAUUUGAGAAUUUCCAAGUGAAGUAGUUACUGUGUUUUUAAAACAUAUAUCCUAUGCCAGUCCUGAGGUCGGUAAAGUUCCUUACAUAAGAACCUUGAUCUAUUUGUUGAAGUUUUCUUUUCACUAUAUAUUUAGGUCAGCCCUUGGAAGGGACAGUUUUACAAAAUUAUUUCUUAACACAGGGCCUAAACCCUUCCUUUAAGAUACUUUCUGGGAGUCCUUAAGGGUGAUCUUAUCAAGUUGUUCUCUGUACUUUUGUUCUGUGAUUUCCUAAUACCAAGGCAACGUAAACAGCACCGGGAAACAUUGAUUUCUAUUCAUGCUGCGCUAAAAAGAUUCUGGAGUAAGAGCUUUUUAGCAAUACAUAUUUAGAGAGAAGUACUUAUCUGUUUUAUGAUCUCUCAAGAAAGUAAUUAUGGGAGACAUUGUCCUUUUGUUCCUGUACCAGGAUUUGUGAAAUACUAUUCACAUACCUGGGCUCUCUUACACAGGGUAUGCAGGAAACUCUAGUGUCUGGGACCUAUUAUUAGUUAAGAGUUACGGGAGUUCAUCUCAGUAUGUCUAUCUUACAGUUAUCUCUUCUUGCACUGAGAUAUUACAGGUAUCAUUUGGGGGCUACUAUACAUCUCCAGUAAAAUUACUUUUUUUUUGUUUAGAAGAAGGCACAUUAAGUCAGGAACAUGCCUUCUUAUGUUUCGUUUUGUUUUGCAUUGAACAGAGUGGCUAAACUCUAUACCCUUCACUUUUAGGAUAUUUGUUGUGUGCCUUUAAGUUCAAGAGUAGGCAGCCCAGUAAAUGCUGAAAGUUGGCUUUAGGUCUUCUGAGGCUAAUGCCAUAUUGAAAAUGAAAAACAUUUGUAAUAGGAAAUUAGCCUGCCCUUCGUUCUGUUGAUCCUGUUUUCUGGUGGUCAUAAUUGUGGGUAGAAGAGAGGAGUACAGUUUGCAAAUAAUGUGAUGAGUUGGCAAUGCAGGAGUUUCCAGCAUUUGGAAACACUUUAUUCUGACAAACUGAUUAUCUUGUGAAUUUUGUAUAUGCUUCACAGAAUGAGCUUUUAAAAGCAUUGAUUUUCUUAAAGUGUGUUCAUUCAUAAGAAGUUAAUUUGUGCCCUGGUUUCUUAUUGAUAGGUAUUUGUUUAUCAUAUGUUCAUAGUCUUCUUGAUUCUGUUUCCAAUAUUUGAUCCAUAUCAUUCUCUAUUUUGUAGAACAAGUAAAAGGUAUGUGAUCAUUCAAAUGCAGAUUUUAGGUGAAAUCUGUAUGUUAUGAAAAGCAAUUAUUUGAUCAGUAUUUAUUUCAACAUUUAUUUUCAUCAUUCACUAGAAGAUUUAAUUGUGUAUAUCAACGUCAACGGUACACAUCUUGUUAUAUCAAAUGAUGUUUUUGGGAGUCAAAAUCCCUCAACACUUUAAGCAUUUGUAUUAUAAAGUGCCUCACUGGUAAAAGAAUGAGUAUUUGAAGAAAACAAGCCAAGCAGAACUAAAAUUUUAGUUUUAAAGGAGAUGAAGAGAAUAAGUUUUUGUUAUCUUAAUUUGUUUAGGUUUCUUUUUAUUAGAGUAGCAUAAAUAAUGUUUGCUCUGAAGAAAAUUGAUGACCAACUAGAAUUUCCAUUUUUUAAAAGGGCUUUAAAAUAAAAUUCUCCUUAUGUCUUGGCUGCAUUAAAAAACAAAACAAAAAAACCCUACAACCAUUGAUCCUUAGCCUUCUUUGGGAAAAUAAAAUAUUCUGGAAUAAUCAUGUAAUCCUAUUUCUAAUAAUUUUGGAGUAGCAAUAAACCGUGCUUUGCACCAUGCCAGGAAAAUUCUGCAAUGCAUAUUUGAGAUGUUUGUGUCUGUGUUUAAAGUGAGGCACCAAAUGCUACCUGGCACAUUUAUAUCCCCAAUUCUGCUUGCUUGCCUGUGCCCUGUUGAGUCCAAAGAUGUUAUUCCAUAGUUAUCUGAAACAGACAGAAGUCAGAUCUGUGAGUGACAAACAGCUUUGGCUCCGAAUGAGUAUAUGUGUGAAAAUAUUAUUUUCCUCCCUGCCUCAGCAAUUGGUGUCUUUGCUUCUUUUCCUCAUUUCUUAGGUAAAACCUGAGACACGGUGAAAGGAAUAGAGGUAUGAUGAGGGGUGUGCUCUGUUGAAACAUCUCGGGUUGUUUAAAUUUUUUCAUUGUCUGUUAGAGGAGAACACUUGUGAAGCACUGAGCUCAGGAGCUCCACUUGUUGGAAGCCUUUCUGCUUUACCUAGUCCAGCAACAUUUUCUGUCUGCCCUUUCUCUUGCAUCGCCUCUUAGUUCUGACCUGCUCGUUUUCUCCUACUAUCCCCUGCUAUCUCUUUGUUUCCACCUCUUAUUUCAGGUUCCUGACAUUGUCCUUUUUUUUCUUUCGCUCCUUUUCAGAAUUUUGCAGUACUUGUGGCCCACUCUCUGCAGAGAGUAAAUCGAGAACCCAAGAAGCAGGGCAAAAAGGGCCUCUCACACUGGGUCCGCCACCUUUACCCGGCAUCAAAUUUGUAUUUUAGUUUUGAAAUUGCAGGCGACAAAGACACAGACCCCAGCCAUGCCUUUUGGGUUCAGUUUUUUGUUUUUGUCAUUCUUGGUUAUCCCCUUUUAAAAGAAAAGAAAAACAGAAAAAGCCUCUUUCCAUUUCUUUUUUAUUUUGUUUCCUUUUUGUGAUGUCAAAGAUUCCGUACCUCCAAGGUUGCCUCCUCUCCCUCCCCUUUCCCCUGCCGUGUGGCCUUUUUGGUUGGCGCAAACCCCCUCGGCCCUGGCACUUUCCCUUUUCCGGGUCACCUCCGCUUCCUGCAUUCCUUCUCCUCCCUCCUCCGAGCCCCCUUUCACCCGGGGUUGGGAAUCUGCAGUGAGGACACCCUUGGGUCUCCCGCCCCCACCCCCCUCGAGUCCUCCCGGGCGACCGGCCCCCGUCCCUGGCCGCGUGGUAGGCGUGGGCGGGCGAGGGCCCGUCCUCGGGCACAGCUGCGCAGCUCUGGGCCUCCGGGCGGGCGGGCGGGGCGGCUGGGUGCUGAUUGGCUCUCACCACAGCCAAUCAGCGUGUGAAAUUGCCAGCAGCGGAGGGUGAGGGGCGGGGCUCUCCGCAGAUUCCCCCGGCGUUGGUGGCAGGCGGGCGUCCCUGGGCCGUUUUCUCCCAUCCCACGUCUUGCACCUCUUUCCUGCGGGUGCCUGCAGGCUGAGCCACAGGCCCCCUUCGCACCGCGCCCGCCGACUGAGGACGUUGUGCCCUCAGCAGUAUUCCUGCAUUUGGAGCAGAAUCCUAAGAAUGAAAAAGUCCAACCAGCCCACGGACGGGGGCCGGAAACACACACUUCCUCUUAUUUUUAAUUGAGAAAAAUCCAGGCCAGACCAUGUGACGAGCCCCAUUUUGUUUCCCUCCUCUCUUUACUAUGGUUUACUACGAGGCCACGUUCCUUCAUCUUCCUGUCUCGAGAUCCGCGAGCAGGAGGGAGCCCCGCACGUGGCUUUGGGUCGAGGGGGUUGGCCCCCACCACCGAGGGAGAGAGAGGGACCUGCGAGUGCUGCUGCAGCGGUCGUUUUGGGUCAUUGGGGGAGGGUGAAAUAUUUUGGCUCCAGAGCGCCCUAGGCUCCGUACACUAGUAAAGCGCUUGAGCUAGCAAGAGCUAGGAAGACGCAGCCUCCUGGGCUGUAAGAGAGUUAACAGAGAAAUGAUCUGCUUGCAGAUCCUGAGAACCCCGUGUGACGAGGGUUUGGUUACUGUGUUCCCUAAAGGCUUGGAGGAAAUGCUGUCGCCUUCUUAGACACAGAUUCAUUUUUCCACCAUUGACAGUCUCAGUGACAGCCUGUCGAGUCAGGCUGGGCACAUCGAUUUUGAAAGCCUGCUAGAUUUAUGCACCCUCCAGUAACCAAAAUUAUGUGAGAUAUAUUACUGCAUGGGAUGGAACAUGUGUUCAGAUUUGGCCUUUCUAAAAUAAGGAAAAUAAGGAAGAGAAGUGCUAUGGGAUUAUUUUCUCCCCCGCCUUCCCUCUUAAAUAAGCAUUUCUGACUAGCUAGCAUCCCUCUUGUAUCACUGAAUCAUAAGACCGCAGGGCAGCACUUUUUCUGAGGGGCCAAAUGAAACAUUGCAGGUGGAAACGUACCAAGCAGGUGCAAAUGCUGUGCCCCAAAACUGCUACUGAGCAGUGGGAGAGAGUUUCCCUGUUGUUCCAGAAAAGUUUGAGCAUCUAAUAAUUUGCUUAAUGUUUACAAUUGUUUAGGUAGAUUUUUAUAUUAAAAAAUAAAUCCACAAAAUGUUGCAUAUAUUGUAGUUAUUUCUCUGAGUUCCCCCGCAAUAAAUACUGUCCCAGCAUUGCUGUACAGGAAGGGGCUUGGGAUCCAAAAGGGCAUGCCACUGUUUUUUUUUUUUCUUUUUAGUUUAUCAGAAUUCCAGGAAAAUAGUUUUGUUCUAUCUUAAAUGAUGCAAUGGAAAAAGCAGUUCUUGGGAGCCAGAGAUCUUGGGCUUCAACACAGCCUGUACCCUUCACUAGCUGAGUGACCUUGGGCAAGUCACUUAAUUUCUCUGGACCUACUUCCUCUUCAGUAACUUGAGGAUUUUGUUCUAAAUUAUUCUAACCUCCUUUGCAGCUCUAAACAUAGGAAUGUUGUGGAGAAAAUGACUGAUACUAUUUAAUGGGUCAGUUGCAAUGAGGAUUCUUUCCGAAGAAGCUGUUGACAGGGUCAUCGUAAAGGAUUAGAAUAGCCUGUUCUGUCCAGUUCUAGCCUUUGGUUCAGACAUUGUUUAUGGCCAGACUAGGGGCCUGGAAGAAAAAUAUUGUUUGAUUCAGGCUGAUUUUAACCUUUCUUGCUUUGAGGGGACAUUUUCAAGUUUUAACAGACCUUAAAACAAACCCUCCUGAAUGCACCAGUCUAAGUUUUUGGAACUAUCUCUAGACUGGAUUAAGCUGUUCUUCCUUCCACCUUUUUAAAAAUAAAAUGUGUGUGGGAAUGCAAGGCACCUGCUAGUUCCUGCAUCCUAAGGUCAACUGUCAGAAACAUCUCACCCCUCCCCACAGUAUAGAUUAAGCUUUAACCAGUGCACACUGUGGAAAUCAACACAUGCAUCCUGUUGGAAAUCACUUUUUCAGAGGUGGUGUGUUUGUGGAUAAUGUUUCUCAUUUGUAGCAUAAGUGUUCUUCAGUGAGAUAGCUAUUUAAGUGAAUGGAAAGGAAAUGUGAGAAGCCAAUUGCGGACUAUAGGAGGUCUUCCACAAUUUUUUGUUGAGUUUUAUUUUUCUCUCUUAGUUGUAUGAAAGAACUCAAUAUUUCUCUUGCUGGUAAAAUUAGUGUUGUCCACUUUAGGGUUUUUGAUUAGUUAGUUGAGCCGACACUGCUUGACCAACCCUGUGUUAUCUUGGCUGUUGAGUUGUCAAUAUAUUCAGAAGCUCUGGCCUUUUUUCUCCCUCCAUGUGGAUUUCACAAAUCAUUAAAAUAGUCUGUUGCCUCUUCAAAAACUCCAUGGACUUAUUCUUUAUCAAUCCUCUCACUAUAAUCAGAUAUGUGUCUUAGCUGAAUAGUAUAUAAAUGGUUCCUUUUAUUUUGAUGGGCUGGUACUGUAGUAUAUUGGAACAUUACGCAGUUUUAAGAUUUUGUUUGGUUUUAAAGCCAUUUCCUCAACUAUUUCCUCAUGUUACAAAAUUACUGGAAGAUGUAUUCAAGGAAAAUAGCUUCUUGUGAAUCAUGCUUAAGUCAGUUUCACACUAAAGAUUCUGUAACUUUUUUUUCAUACUAGUAUUUUUUUUUUUGCAUGUAAAAGAAUAGAUCCUGGCUCUACCACAUUUAUAAUUAUAUAACUGUUUUAUUAUUUUGUUACCUUAUUAGUCCAUAGCUACACAGCAGAUUUUAAAAGCUCUUUUUAAAAUGAAGCAUGUUUAGAAAGUGUAAUCAUAUUAAAUUUUAACUUAAAAUUACAUUUUAAUAUUAGUAUGGUAUAAUAAUUGUAUACUAAUUUCAGAACAGCAUGACAUAGUUACUAAAAUUUAUUGGAAAGCUUUUUAAGAGGAUAGGUUAGUAAGUAUCAUCUCUUUGCUUCUAUUUUGGUCUUACACUUUGGAAAUGCUAGUACCGCUCCCAUUCUUAAUUCACAGAAAAAUGGAGAAGAUGGAUUAGAUAAGUAUAAGGUACUGUCAUGUAUGGUAAAAGGAACACUUGCUGUUUUGAUAGUAUUCUUGCAGGAGGCUCUGCUAUAAUCUAUUUAUUAAAGUAAAUUUGAUUGGAUAAAUGUUAUUUGUGUUUAUUCAGUGAGUCUUUGAAUAAUAGAGCUUUAAAAAAAUUAUGUGUUUAUGUUGAAAAGGCUUUUUGACCUCUUUUCUGUAUUUUCCAUUCAUAAUGGCAAUAGAGUUGAAUACAUGGGUCAGACUACGAUUCUAGUUGUAGUUAUCUUAAAGUAGAGUAGAGAUUUUGUGGUUUUAUUACUAUACCUGGAACGUUUUAUUGAAUAAACUGAGUUGGAUUGCACUCAUUGUAUUCCUUUGACCAUCCCAUGUUUUUUAAAUAUUGCAUAUUACAUAUGUAUCCCUGCACUCCGCUUUUAUUGUUGACCAAAGAAUACUUUGAUGCAGAUUCUCUGAUCCUCCCUGACAUAUUUAGGUCAUGUUGCUGAACAGUAUCACUUAAUCUUGAGAUGUUUUCUUAACGCUUAUUGAAAUGAUCAAAGAGACUUUUUUUUUUUCACAUAUAUUUAAUGUGGCAAAUUGUGUUCUGCACAGAAAGUCAUGGCUUUGACUUUUAGGAAGGAUAUGAUCUAAGUGAGCUGGCAGAGUAUUAAAAGGCAUUUAUAAACAUUUAGCAGUUAGUUCAAGGCCACUGGAAUAAUCAGUAAUUGCUAUGCAGUCAACUGUCGUUUAUCUGAUCUUCUCCAAUCAUCAUGUUCAUGUUCAUUUAAAAACGAUUGGGAAGGGUCUAUGGAUAUGAAAAAAUAAUUAUAUUUACCCUAGAGUUUUAGGGGUGGUGGGGACGUCAGAAGAUCAGAAGAUCUUUAAGUGUCGUUAAUACUAUUCAAGGCCACCUAUUUCUCAACCCUAACAUAAAUUAUCUGCUUUUGGUCAAAAAGGCCCUAAGACAAUUUUUCUUGUUCUUCCUCUCUCCUUCCGUUUACUCAGUCAGCACUACUGAGCACCGAUCAUGUUCCAAAUAGCAUACCUUUUAUCGAAAGGGGAUGAAGGUGGAUUCAUGGAAACGGAGGGGAAAAAAUGGUGCUGAGAGGAGAUCACCAAAUUAGUUCCCAGAUUUCUUAUGGCAUAAAUUAUCUGGUAAAAGCAAAUCAAGAUUCAGAUUGUGGAGUUCACGAAAGUUGGCAUUUUUCAUAAACCUAAAGGGCAAAAGUGCCUGUCUACCUUAAAGGUUUGUGUUUUUCUGAAUCUUUCUAACCAUGGCUACCUGUCUGACAAUACCACCAGUAUAUUAAAUAAUCAGGAAAGUUGUUGAAACUCUCAUUUGGAAGAACAGUCCGUUUUGGAUAUUAAGUUUGCAAAUAUAAUAUUGGCAAGAAGCAGGAAAAAGCUAUCUUUGCUUUGGAUCUUUAGUCCCAGUGAAAGCAGCCAGAAGAAGAGGCAUCCAGCUGUUAAAUGAAGAGGGACUGAAUGUGGACUUGUUAUGAGCUGAUCAGUGUUAGGAAAUAGGGGGUGAAAGUGGGGGCUACAAAAGAAAUUUAAAGUCUUUUCUAGGUCUCUUAGCAUUGUUAUUCAAGGACUUCUUUUUUUCCUUUGGGUGGGUGGUUUUAUUUUUAAUAAAGGCUCUAGCACUUUGAACGGUGGUAUUUAGCUUGCUUCUGUCUGGAACUAUAAUCACUUGAGAUUUCUCUCCUUCUGUUUUGAUGAUAUGUGGUCAUAUUUAUUUUUAAGUUCGUGGUAGUGUCUUACACAAACAUUAAAAGAAACAUUUUUUUUUAGACUUCCAAGUUUUAUAAUAGUUUGCUGGGUCUCUUCAUGCUAUUUUUUUCUCUGUGCUUUUGGUGUAGGUGAUACGUGUACAUGCUAUGUUUCAAGUGUUUUUGUCUGUUUGUUUUGUUUUUUUUUUUUUGUUUUUUGAAAACAGGUGGAGAGUAAAAAAUAAUGCUCCCUCCCACCUUUGUUCCCAAUUUCUUAUAGGCCACCAUCACUGCUGGGUUUUAUCUUUCCAGAGAUAAACUGCUUAUAAAUUUUGAAGCUUUGUAAUAGAAAGUUGGUUAAAUACCCAACUGCUCAAAGUCUUCUAUGGAAGAAUAUGCUUUCAGCACUUAAAGAGGCACAGCAGACUUACUGGAUUUGUUGUUGUUGUUGGUGGUGGUGGUGUUAUUGUUAAAAGAGAAAAAAAGGACACUUUACUUUCUGUGUCUUUUUUCAAUCCCCAGAUUCAAAAAGUUGCUAGUGAUUAAUCUACUAUAACAGUGAAGGGGAAAAGCAUAGGUUAAAAAAUGAUCUGGUUUUCAAGUUGGAAACAUUUGUUCAAAUUAAGAAAAGUGUCUUCUAAAUUUUUAUUUCUUAUAUAUUUAUUUAUUUUUGUUUGCUUUUUGAGGCAGAGUCUUACUCUGUCACCUAGGCUGGAGUGCAGUGCCAUUCUCCAGCUUCAGCCUCCUGAGUAGCUGGGAUUAUAGGUGUGCAUCACUGCGCCUGGCUAAAUUUUGUAUUUUUAGUAGAGAUGUGGUUUCACCUUGUUGGCCAGGCUGGUCUUGAACUCCUGACUUCAAAUGAUCUUCCUGCCUUGGCCACCCAAAGUGCCAGGAUUACAGGUAUGAGACACAACACCUGGCCAGAAAAGUGUGUAAGUUUUUAAACACCACCAAUUCCAAUCUUUAUUACUCUAUUUUCUUUUCCUGGUACUCAGGCAUUUGCUCUCCCAACACUGAGUGAAUAGCUUAGUUCUUAAUAUAGUGUAAUGGGAUUAAGUAUGAAGGUUAAGGAUCUUUUUGAAGAAUUUCUGGAUACCAAUGUCUCAUAUUUUCCAGUGCUCAAAAGAAUUAAUGCUUUUUAUUGGAAUAGUCUUUCAACAUUUCAAAAUUCUAGGAACAACUUAUUUUAUACACAAGACUACAUACAACUAAGUAAUUUAUUUACACUAGUGAUUUCUUCUCACUUAUUUUCUCUAAAGUUAUUAACACUUGCGAGGAAUAGAAUUUAGAGAAUCUGCCUUGUAUCCUAAGGAAGAUGUGUAUUGCUGAGAUGACUGUUUUGAAGGAAAGAGGAGCUUCUCUUGGUCAAAAACAUUUAUGACUGAUACCCUGCUAUUCUUGAUGAUUGUGGUCUAGGAAGAGAAUGAAUAGAAUUAGGUAGCUCUGUUACAAAACAGAAGCUUUUAAGAAUGUGGUAACAGGUAACGUUUGAAUUAGAAUUGUCAGUGUUUGUGUGUGUGUGUGACUUACCAGUAAGAGUAUGCUAAUAGCAAUAGUAUUAGUUUUCAUCCAGAUUAAAGUAAUGAUGAAUGAAAUUCAUCAAUAUGAAGGAAAAUUUUUAAAAGCUGUUAAAGAGUUUUAUAUAUGAAGCUAUCUAGUUUCUCAGGUAUAAAUAACAUUUAGCUUUUGAUAUGUAACAAACCGCAAUCAAACGAAGUGCUUUAAAACAUCAGUCAUUUACAAGGUCACAAUUCUGUGUGUUGGUGAUUUAGGCUGAGUUCAGCUGGGCAGUUCUUCUGCUUGUCUCAUAAGGGUAAAUGCAUAUGGUUCAGUCAGUUGUAGGGUUGACUGGGGCCUGGUUGUUUAGGAUGCUCUUCCUUGCAUAUCUAGUGGAUGAUGCUUGCUGUCAGUUGCUGCUUGCUAUUGACUGGUAUAUGUAUCUCCAGCAAGCUGAUCCAGUCCUCAUGUGGUAUUAAACAGAUUCCCAGCAGCAAGAACAGGGAAGCAAUGAAUACAUAAGUCCUUUUCAAGCCUCUGUUUACAUCAGAUUUGCUACUUUCCCAUUGCCUAAAGCAAGUGACAUAGCCACAUGGAGUAUCAAAGGGUAAAACAGAGAUGCUGUUAGAUAAGCCAGAUUGUCUGACUUACUACGAUACCAUGGUAUACUAAACGCAGUCAUUUGUUGUCAUUAGUAAAUGUUUAGAUGUUUAUCAUGAAGAUUUCUACCUUUGGGUGAAAUGUCAGUGAUUUCCUUCAUAUUAGGAUAGUACAAUUUUUCCAUCAUAUUUUUUUUUUGGAAAAACAUGAACACUUAUAUUCCCUUAAAUAAAUAUUCGUUGAGUUUAUUCUGUGAGCCUAGCAGUGGAGACUGAAAUACGUGUUUCCCUGACUUUGUGUCACUUUACAGGGGCCAAAGAAUAAACAAGUAAAUAAAGAAAUACACUACUGCAAAAUGUGGCAUGAGGAAUAGGAAGGGCAAAGUGUUAUGAAGUGAAAUAACAGGACCUACUGUAAAUGUAGGGGCAGGAAAUGAUUUCAGAAAAUACAUAAUGUACUUCUAUUAUUCAGGAGAAACAAACAUUUUUAUAUUACAUACUCUGUGGGCCAGGUACAGAUUCAGGUCUUGACGGCAUCUUUUUAAGAGUGAGAUCUCCUUAAGAAUACCUCUUAUUAGAUGAAUGAAGGCUGAAAGCUCACCUCUGAGUAAAACAUUCAAAAAUGACUACUGAGUUUUCUAGUAGUAGACACAGUUGUCUCUACUUUUAGUGCCAUUGGUGGAUAGUGAAAAUACAUUAUUUGUAUUACAUGCCUACUAUGAGCUAGGUUAGAGGAUUAGACUGUGUUUGGUUUUGUUUUUUGUUUUGAGAUGGAGUCUCACUGUGUUGCCCAGGCUGGAGGGCAGCAGUAAGAUCUUGGCUAGCUGCAGCCUCCACCUUCUGGGUUCCAGCGAUACUCCUACCUCAGCAGCAUGCCCAGCUAAUUUUUGUAUUUUUAGUAGAGAUGGGUUUCGCCAUGUUGGCCAGACUGGUCACAAACUCCUGACCUCAAGUGAUCUGCCCACCUUGGCCUCUAAAAAUCUGGGGUUACAGGCGUGAGCCACUGCACCCAACCAAGGGUUAUACUUUGUAACAGUCCUCAGGUGGCUCACACAGGACCUGAAAGCGAAUAUGGUAAUGGAAGGGAACCCAGAGCUAGGGGAUAUAGUUCCACUGUCCCUUCAUCAAUGACUGACUCCUUAUUCCCACUUACACAACAAGCUGGGCCAUAUGAGAAGUGGUACAGGGCGCUGGACAUUUUGUGGGGCAAGGUGGAGAGCAAGGGCUGAGAUGGAGUCAGAGACUUUGAAAUGGUUUGAAAGGGCUUUUGCUGCCUGAGCAGAAAUCUAGAUUUGGGGAACAGAGUUGCUGAUGAUUGGAAAGCAAAUACAGAUGAUUUGCCACAUCCCACUCAAAGCAAAGGCAGUUCUUUAGUUAACUCCACACAGCUCUCCCAUCAGCUACUAUUUACGUUUUUCUUUUACCAGAAUCUCAAAUACCUUACAUAUUCCUGAGGUUAUAGAAAGACACAAAACAAGACACUGUAUAAAAUAUAUUGUGGAGGGGAGCCCAGAGGGAGAGGCUGAAAGUUGAAUGUGGUGGUAUUUAUAUUGUGAUCUUGGCAGUUCAGGCCACCCCCCUAACCCUCUCCUUGCUAGCUCCCUCUGCCCCCCUUCCCAAUUCCAGCUAAACAAUAACUUCCUUUCAAAGCAGAUCUCAUUCCUUCUGGUUAGGUUAAGGGAUAUUAAUAUUACAUUUUUAAAAGAAUGGGUAAUGAAUUAAUUUCUAAAAAUAUUUUAUUUCCAUUUGUAGGGUACCCUGGAAGCUACCAAGAGUAUAAUUAAAACUUUCCAUUUUGCCCAAAUGUGUGUGUGUGUGUGUGUGUGUGUGUGUGUGUUUAGGGGUGGGGAGGAGGGUUAGGGAGUGGAAACUGCAGUCCAAUAAAAAAAGGUUACAUUCCUAAAACUUGGUCUUUAGAAAUAUUUUGCAGCCUGAGCCUUUAGUCCUUCACAAGUCCCUACAAAGACCGACCUUCAGAAACUGUGUAGGCUUGUUGUUUCUUGGGCCUUUGAACUGGGUGAAGAAUGUGUCUCAAGAUGGAAAAAUGAAUGACUGGUGCUUUAGCCUCCAGCUCCAAGCUUGCUGGAGAAAAGUUAUUGUAUCUUCAAAGCCUGCUUCCCACCAUGCUGUAUUAGUUAGAUGGACCUAUGGAAAGUGUCUUUGCAUUAUCAAGUACACAACAAAAACCCAUACCACCCAAUUCGGUCUAAUUCACUGGCUCCUUUUAGGUGGAUUUUUAAUUAAUGUGUCUCCUCUCUAAGAAUAGAGCCCCAUUCCACCGCUCCCUCCCAACCCCAACUCAUAGGAUUUACUGUUACUCACCAGUUUAGGAACCUUCAGCCUUUUCUUUUCUUUUCCUUUUUUUGUGGCAUGGGAAAUAUUAUUUUUAAAAAUAAUGGCAGAAGUUAUUUAGAAACAAUUCUCCUAUCUAAGAAGAGGUCUGAAUGAAUUUCCAGAAAAAGUAAAUAAAAUUGCAUUGCAAUGUAAAAGUAAUGCAUUUAAAUGCACUGACCAAAGAAAAUGCCCAAAUCUUUUAUUAGUUGGGUCCAAGUGUACCUACCACCCUGCCUCUCUUUUUAGUUCAUAAAAUUUACCCCUUCAUGAAGGAUGAUGGAAGUGGUAACACCACCUGUCCUUGCUCCAGUUACUGGUUUUAUGGCACUCCUUCCUACUAAAAAUUGUGAGCUGCUUCAGAGUAGUCUCAGUCUUCAUUUCAUGACUCCAUUAUCCAAGUUGGUGCUCACAAAAUACUUUCCACAUUGAAAACGUAUUUAUCAACAGUUCAGGGAAGAGUCUUGAAAUCAAGGGAGAGGAUGACUUUAUAAAAGUUUCAAACAAGAACAAUAAUGUGGAUUUUUUUUGAGUACCUCAAGCCGUUUCAUUUGCCAAAUAUUUUAAAAAUUCAGAUUUAACAAUAUCAGCUACAUUAAAAAUAGUCAAUCAAAAUUACAAGAGUUUUUGUAAUCUGGUAUGACUGAAUAUGAAAAUGUGGGUGAAAUAAAUUGCAACUCCUAUGUAUCUUAAGUCUUGGACACUUCCUCCGUUCCCUCAAACCAUUCUUUUGAAGAUUGACAGAAACUUUGCUUUGUUUUGACAAGAUUUAUUUCUGUGCUUCCAACAGUAGCUCAUCAGCUUAUUCUUCUAGUUCUUCUGAUGUUAAUUGCAGCUUACUGAUCUAGGUCACAGCAUAGCAUUUUCACUGAGGUUUCAGAUAUCAAAAGCAAUGAGAAAAUCAUUUGAAAAGUAAACAUUAUAUCAUAGCUUCCUCUCUUUUUAUUUACUUACUGAGACAGAGUCUUGCACUUUCAUCUGGGCUGGAGUACAGUGGUGCAAUCUCGGCUCACCACAACCUCCGCUUCCUGGGUUCAAGCGAUUCUCCUGCCUCAGCCUCGCAAGUACCUGGGAUUAUAGGUGUGUACCACCACGCCCGGCUAAUUUUUUGUAUUUUUAAUAGAGAUGGUGUUUCAUCAUGUUGGCCAGCUGGUCUCUAACUCCUGACCUCAUGAUUCACCUGCCUCAACCUCCCAAAGUGCUGGGAUUACAGGCAUGAGCCACUGUGCUCAGCCACUACUUCUGUUUUUAAAGAGGCCAGUUACAAAAUUUGUGAUGUAUAGACCUCCCUUGUCAUGUCUCCCAUUGCUCCUCCUUUUUCUUCCUCUUGGGAAUAUUGUUGCUAAUUAGCCCCUCUACUAAAAUAUGGGUAAAGUCUGGGAAAAGGAAUUAAAUUUAGAUGAGUCAAUUUUGCCAGUUUAGCUCUUGGUAGCUACUCUGCUAAAAUAUUCCCUUGGUCUGGAAAAUUGAACUUAAUUGCUCAGAUUUGAGACUUUUCCCCUGCAGUCCCUGACGUUUGUUUCCACACAGGCUGGACUGGUGUGAUGGCCAAAGUAACGGUAUGUGUAUUCUAAACUGGUGUGUCAGCCAUUGUAGCAAUUGUUUUCAAACAUUGUUGGACAUUUGAAGUAUUGAGCUGAAACUUAGGAUCCAGACACUUUUAUAAUACUUAUGGCAGAGCAUUUGUCACAUUUGGGUAUGAAACCCACAACUCCACAAGAUUUGUAGAAAUAAGUUCUAUUUUAUUUUAAAUAAGACUUCAGUUUUAUUGGCUCUUCACAGCUGUUUCACAUUUAUGCUGCUUUCUAAAGCUUGAAGAUGUGUGUCCUCAUAGGUAUGUGCCUAGUAUCGAGCUAGGCCAUUUCUCUUUCCACUAGCGUGGCUGAGUAGGUUUGAAUGCUCAGUGGAAUGAGUCUGGCAUUUGGUAGAUACUAUUUGUUAUAUCUAAAUAAUGAAUGAAUGUUGGACCAUAGGGUUUUAAAGCACAGUAUGGAAAAUAUAUCAGCGCCUCAUUUAUUUGUAGACCAGAAUUAUAUUCUAUUCAGGAAAUAGAGUUUCUGUUAACUACAUUACUACUCCUGACACUUGGUAGGUAUUGAAUAUUUUCUUAGAUUUUUCCAUUCAUUGCAGAAUUAAGCUGUUAUAAUUGCCGAACCUGAAAUUUAAAAGAGAUUGUAACUGGUCAUGAAGAUCCUGGUGGGAAAUUGCUGAAGACUCGAAUGUUUGUAGACCUGACAUGAGAGAGCAUGCUGGUUAAGUAGUGCAAUAAGGAGCUAGUGAAUUUCUACUCAGUCCCAGGCAUAUUCUUAAGUUCUUGAAUUACAACUGUGAAGAAAACAGACAAAAAUUCAGGCUUUCAUAGAACUUCCUUUCUUGAGAGCCAUGUAAGUAAGAAAGCUGUAGAGGACCAGCUUCUCUAGGGCACAUUUUUGUGAUGUAAUAAGGCAAAAUAUAAAAGAGAAGGAAGUAAGGAUUUAAGUUGACGUAUAUGUGCUUAAGAGAGAUUGUCUUACAUGAAAGUCAAGAUCUGGACCAGGCGACAUAUUGAGAGAGGAUGUUAGGAGUAUGUGGUAUAUCUGCGAGGCCCUAGAGAAGACUGGGCUGGCAACAAGUAUGGCCACCUACUUGUACUGGGCCAUGGGUGUUGGAGGAAGCAGGGGUGUCAUGAACCAUAGCUUAUGUUGCAACAUUGGAUGGUAGUAAUUUUCACUGGAUAUUUUUAAGCGUUUUUUUCUAAAGACUAUUAUGCAAAACUGGUAAUGUAUAUACUCUAAUCUCUCUUUUCCAAAAUUAUAUUUGAUAAUUCUGUUAGAAAAGUAUUUGAUGUUUGGGAGGAAAGAGUAUCUUGAAAUGCUCUUAUAUGAAAAGCUUUUACUUUGGUAUUGCUGUGUAUUUUACAAGCAAGGCUCUUCAGGCAUAUUCUUGUUAAAUCCAUACAUCACAAGAGGAAAUCCCACAAUUUUAAGGUUGCUUUUUCUAGUGGAUAACAGCUUUUAUGGUGAGGAAAUUUCUUUAUUACUAACUUAAAUCCUUCACUUACAUGUGAGAGAAUUUCCUUCAUUCUGAUUUUAGUAGUCAUGACAAGCGGCCUUUUUUAAAAAAUUGAGGCUAUAAAUUAUAUUUUUAUCAGAAGAUUUAAAUUAUAUUAUAGAAAUAUACUGUAAAGUACUAUUAAGUUCUAAAAACAAACUUAAAAUUCAAUGAACAUAUUUAAAUGUGCAGAAGAUUAAAUGGAAAAUUAUAACCUUGGUACGCAAGUCAUCAGUUUGCUAAAAGAGGAAAUAAGACAGGAAAUGAAUUUUCUAAGAAAUUCUUAGAAAAAAUAUUUAUAAAUAGAAAAUAUUUUAUAAUAGAUCAGACAAUACUAAUUAAAGUGACUAUGACUUUUCUGGGUUUCAAAUAUAACAUAUAUGUAUUUGCUGAAAUUUAAUAAUAGGGUCAGUAUGUUUGUCCAUUUUCAUGCUGCUGAUAAAGACAUACCUGAGACUGGGCAAUUUACAUAAUAAAGAAGUUUAAUGGACUUACAGCUGCACAUUGGGGUGGGGAGGGAGCGGAGAGGGGGCGGGAAGCAUCACAUCAUGGCAAAGAGGAGCAAGUCAUCUCUUGUGUGGAUGGCAGCAGGCAAAAAGAGAGCACAGAGAAACUCCCAUUUUUAUAACAUAAGAUCUCAUGAGACUCAUUCACUAUCAUGAGAAUAGCACAGGAAAGACUCACUCCAUGAUUCAGUCACUUCCUACUGGGUCCCUCCUACAACACAUGGGAAUUGUGGGAGCUACAAGAUAAGAUUUGGAUGGGGGCACAGAGCCAAACCGUAUCAGUUGGUUUCCUCUGAAAGAAAUUUUGCAUCAACCAACUGUUCUAUGGAAAACAAUAAUUCAUCAAAUACAGGUUACAAUUUGGGGUUCUGUAAGUGGUCAGGAAAUUUAAAUAGGUUUGAAAAUCCCAUAGAAAACAAAAUACCUGAAUAUUUAUAUAGUCACCUAAACUUGUUUUAUCAUUCAUUUUUAACUCAAUAGCAUUUUUAAAAUAAGCUUUUUAUUUCAAGACAGUUACAGAUUUACAGUAUUAUUGCAAAGACAGUACAGAGAUUUAGAUGUGUACCCCACAUCUAGUUUCUACCUUUAACAUCUUGCUUUAGUAUGAUAUAUUUGUCACAACGAGCUAAUGUGGCAUGUUAUUAUUAACUAAAAUCAGUACUUUAUUCAGAGUUCCUCAGUUUUUCCCUAAUGUUCUUAUUUUUCUUUUCUAGGGUCUCAUCCAGGAAACCAUAUGGCAUUUAGUCAUUACAUUAUGUGUCUCCUUAGGCACUUCUUGGUGGUGUCAGUUUCCCAGACUUUUCUUGUUUUUUCUGAUCAUGACAGUUUUGAGGAGUAGAACGUCCCUCAGUUGAGAUUUGUCUGAUGUUCUUCUCAUGGUUAGACUGGGUAUGUGUCUCGGGGAUGAAGACCACAAAGAUGAAGUGCCCUCUCAUCACCUAUCAAGUGUACCUGUUAACAAGAUUUCUCAAGGUCGAUGCUGACCUUGAUAACUUUGCUGAGCGAGGGUUUGUCAGGUUUUUCUACUGUAAGUUUACCCUUGUCCCCCUUCUCAUAUUGUGCUCUUUGGCAGAGUGAUGAUACAUAAUCCACAAUUAAGGUGUGAACAUUUGUCUACACACACACACACACACACGCACAUGCACACAUGAUUCUUCUGCACAGAUUUGUUUCUUAUUUAUUUAGUCAGUUCUAUUUAUGUUAGUAUGGACUCAUGGCUGUUUAUUUUAUACUACAGGUUAUAAUACAAUAACAUUUUAUUUUGUUGCUCAAAUUGUUCCAGCUUUAACGCUUCUAGUUGGCACCUGUGUCCCUUUGACAUACUCCCAUCAUUGCAGGUUCUUGCUUUUUUUUUUUUUUUUUUUUUUUUUUUUUGUGUGUGUGUGUGUGUGUGUGUGUGUAUAUCGCAUUCCCUUACUUUUUGACACUCCAAGAUACUACAGGAUCACCCUGUUUAUUUCCUGCCCCAGUUCUAAAAUCAUCCAUUUCUCUAAGGAGCUGCUUCCUUUUAUUGGAAAAUUCACAGUUUGCCCUCUGUAACCUUGGGUUCUGCGUUCAUGGAUUUGGCCAAACACGAAUUGAAACUAUUCAAAAGAAAAAAAGGAUAGUUGCAUCUUCACUAAACAUGUACAGACUUUUUUCCCUUGUCCUUAUUCCCUAAACAGUAUAGUAUAACACUUAUACAUAGCAUCUACAUUAUAUUCUGUAUCACAAGUAAUCCCUAGGUGAUUUAAGGUAUACCAGAAGUUGUGCAUAGGUUAUAUGCAAGCAUUACACCAUUUUAUACGAGGGACUUGAGCAUCCAUGGAUUUUUGGUAGGCACAGGAGUUCUGAAAACAAUCCCCCACAGAUAACUAAGGGACAAUUAUAUUAGAAAUUAAGUACCAUCUGGGAACUGGCAUUGUUUGUUGCUACUGAGAUGUCAUUUCUUUUUUGCCUUCUCAGCUGACAGAGCAAGGAAAUGUAAGUGUAUACUAACCCAUAUAUAUAUAUAUAUAUAUAUAUAUCUAUAAAUAUUUCUAUAUGUAACCAUCUGUAUCUGUACUAAGCUAAACUUGAGUUCACAUUGCUGUCUCUAAUUCCCAUCCAUUUCCACAUGGACCAUUCUCGCCUCCUUGCUUGUCUGUCACCUCCCACUCCAACAGUGUGAAAUCUGGCUACUACUAUGCUUGAUCCAUUUGUUUGUUCCAUUUUACUACAUAUGUAUACAUAGCAGUAUCAGGAUUGUUAACUCUAGCCCCAUGGGAAACAACUUUAUUAACUAGAGUUCAAUGCUUCUGUAGAGUUUCUUUUGCAUUUAGUCUUAUAGGUUCCCUUCAUUUCCAGAGUUAAAUAGAUCAGCACCUUAUUCUCCUUCCUCUUUUACUGAAGCCCUUUCAUGCAUUUGUAACACAUUUAGACUCUUUUAUCACAUUCUGCAUUCCAUCCUGGGAUCAGUAGCUUUCUAGGUGUAUUUUUUAUUUGCAUACAUUAAAGCUUACUGUUUGUGAUAUAAAUUCUGUGGGUUUUGACAAAUGCCUAAUUACUUGUAUUCACCAUUAUAGUAUCAUGCAGCAUAGUAUCAAGGCCCUAAAAUGCUCUAUGCUUCACUUAUUCAACACUUCCUCUCUCUCCCCAACCCCUGGUAAUCUCUGUUCUGUUUAUUGUCUCUAUACUUUUGCCUUUUCCAGAAUGUCAUCAAAUUGGAAUCAUUAUAGUAUGUAUUUUUAUCAGGCUGGCUUCAUUUACUUAGCAAUAUGCAGUUAAGAUUCAUCCACAUCUUCUGUGGCUUGAUAGCUCAUUUCUUUUUAUUGCUGGUUAAUACUCUGGUAGGGAUGAAACAGCUUAUUUACCUAGGCCACCAACCUUUUAUGGAAUGUUUCCCUGCAUGUGUUUGAAGACAUUUAUGAAGUCAGGUCUCAGUUUUCCUUUAAUACUAAUCAUUUUUAGGCUUUACUCAUCAUUCUUAAUUUUAAAAUCUUCAAUUAAUUUUACAUAUCUUUCCAAAACCUUGAGUUUUUUGUAUCAUUUUCCUCCCCCAAACCUUCAACAUUCUAUAGUACAUUUCAGGCCAGCCCUGGACUGGGCAUAGUUAGACAUUUGCUUCCUGAUUUCCCCAUGUUCUCCCCAUUUUAAUUUACUCCAUGUUAGUGUUUUACUCUUUCAAUGACAGUGGAACUUUAUAGAUUUAUGUACCACCUUGGAGUCUUUUUAAGCACUCUUCUCUGAAGGACAGUAAUUUGCAUUUUUAAAAAGAGAUUUAUUUGAACUCAUCUACCAGUAGUCUUUUUUUUUUUUGUGACAGAGUCUCACUCUAUCACCAGGCUGGAGUGCAGUGGUGCAAUCCCAGCUCACUGCAACUUCCGUUUUCUGGUUUCAAGCAAUUCUCCUGCCUCAGCCUCCUGAGUCGGUGGGACUACAGGCACGCACCACCAUGCUUGGCUAAUUUUUUGUACUUUUUAGUAGAGACGGGGUUACACCAUGUUGGCAAGAAUGGUCUCGAUCUCUUGACCUUGUGAUCCACCCGCCUUGGCCUCCCAAAGUGCUGGGAUUACAGGCGUGAGCCACUGCGCCCAGCCCCAGUAGUCUUUUUAAAAAAGUAUUUUGAGUAUUUUGUGAUUUUGAUUCGGUAUAGACAUUUAUAACGUUUUUAUUCUUUCUUACCAUGAUGGACUCUCAAGUCUCAGGGAAAUAAGUUAAUGAGGUUCACUGAAGGUUGGUUGUUGUCCUUUCUGGACAUCCAGUGGGAAUCUGAAACUGCCUGGACUUCCUGGUUUGAGCUUCCCUGUCUGGAUUUGUAAUGUAGGAAUAGGGCUUUCUCUGUUGAACUGCAGGGAAUUAUCUCUGGGAUCAUAAGAGGGGGCCCUGCUGCCAUGCCUCACUGCCUAUCACCUUUAUGUGAAAAAAAGCAGCUACUGGCCAGGCAUGAUGGUUCAUGCCUGUAAUCCCAGCAAUUUGGGAGUCUGAGGUGGGUGGAUCACCUGAGGUCAGGAGUUCAAGACCAACUUGGCCAACGUGGUGAAAACCUGUCUCUACUAAAAAUACAAAAAUUACCUGGGAUGGUGGUGGGCGCCUGUGAUCCCAGCUACUUGGGAGACGGAGGGAGGAGAAUUGCUUGACCCAGGAAGCGGAGUUUACAGUGAGCCAAGAUCGCUGCCAUUGCACUCCAGCCUGGCUGCCAAGAGCUGAAAAGAGCAAAACUCCAUCUAAAAAAAAAGUAGCUACUAUCCAAUUAGCUAAAAGGGCUUGAAGAUCAUAUUUAUAUCGUAUUUCAACACUCAACAAAUAUUUUUGAAUCAUUAUUACAUAAGCAUGCAAUGAAUCUUAAGACUACUCUCCUGGAGUGGCUACAGCUAACCAAAGCCAAACCCCUUCCUUCUCUACCCUCCUGGGGAAAAUGUGAUGGGGAGGGCUGCUGGGUAAAGGGAAAGAGGGUGGUGUAGGAAGGAGGUCACAAAAGCACACAUAUUUGUUUAAGGACCAAGAUGCAAAAGAAAAGAAUAAAAUCCCAGGUUAGGCUCCACAGUCUCAUUCUUUUUUAUUUUUAUUUUUAACUUGCAAGCUAACAAGUUAUAGAAUCCCAUUCUACACAAUCUUUUUUUUUUCUUUUAAAAACACAGACAUUUAUUUUUUUCUUUCUCUCUCGCUGAAAUUGUCUCAGCUUGUUGUAUAAUUCUGGCAGUAGAAUUCCUGACAUCCUAGAUCAUACAGAUUACAGCUAGGCUCCUUUUAUACUUGUGUGUAUGUGUGUGUUUUCUCCAUAUAUUUAGGGUUAUAUGUGUAACAUUUCAAACAGGUUUCCUUAUAAUCAGUUUUGCUGUCUGUACUUGUUGACUAUGAAGGCCUCCAGAAAAGUUGUUUCAAAUAGAGAGCCCAGAUGCUUCUGUAUAUACAUCCUAUUCACCAAAACGAAUCUUUGCAAAAAAGUUGUUUUUAAUUGUUUGUAUAUUAACUAACCUGAAACAAACCUUGUGUUCCUUUAUAAACCAGUACUAAAAAACAGGAAUAUAUAUCUGCUAAUGGCCUUUAUUUCAAAGUGUCCAGAAAUAGUUCAGCUAGAAUUCUAUAGGUCAUUAACCAUAGACCUCUGUGGUAUUCUCUUUAGAAGUUCUGUGGCUGUUUGAUUUUGUGUGUUUCAUGUUGUCACCAAAGCCUAAAAGGAAUUGGUAUUACCGGACUGUAUUUGCAUUUAGAGUGUGACCAGUUCUCUAGGGUACAGAUGCUGGGCUAUUUAUGAAACAACUUCAGCUGACAGCUAAAGAUCAGAAGAUGCUAUUUUGGGAAGUGUCCUAAAUGUGAGGUUCUGUGGUGAAAAAUAUUUAGUGUCUUACAGAUAAGAUACUUAAAACAGGAAGCAGUGGUAACUUAUUACUUCCUUUGUAAAUAUCCUUAUCAGCAUGAUAAACUUUAGGUUUCAGUUCUGCUUUCCUGAUCCCAAGAGUUCUUUUCUUGUAAUCAUCUUCUAUAAGAGGACUCAAAAAUUUUUUAAAAAAAAGUCCAUGUAGGGGGAAGAGAAAUAAUUUACUAACAUCAUUUGUCUUGUCUUGAUAAGGUCCUUUCAUUUCCUACCACUCAUAGUUUUUGCUUGGCUAAGAGACAAAUUAUAUACUACUGUUCACUCAUUCAUUAGCUAUAUCUAUUGUGUGUGGAUAGUAUUGAUUCUCUAUUUGUUUUAGAGCAAGACUAGCUUGAUUAUUAUAAGUGAAAGAUCAAAUGAAAGUAUAGAACCACCAUCACAGACAAGAAAUGAGGAGAUGUGAAUUUUAUUCCCUAUUCUGCCACCUCCUGGAAACUGUCAUUCUUUGACCUGAUUUUCUGGUUCAUGAAAUUGGAGAUAGUAAUAUUUCCCUGGUCUGUCUUACAAUGUUGUUUUGUGGAACAAAUGAAAUAAUACAUGAAGGUAAAAUUGUACACUCUGAAUUGCUUCUCAUACAUAGAGUUUGUUAUGGUUUGAGUUACAUCCCAUCAACACCCCUUUCACCCUUAGAAUGUAGGGGUGCUUUUGGUUUUUGUUCCUUCCUUAUUAAAAAUGUUUUUUGAACUCAGUCAGCUUCCUAGAUUUCUUGGCUGGAAGACUAUAUCAUGAUUGAGUGCCUGAAAAGAUACAACAAUGUUGACUUUCUCAUUCAGAUAUUUAUUUUAUGAAGUAUGAGUAUGGUGUACUGUUAAAUUCUAGGAAACUGGGUUGCAUUUAUUAGCUUGGCAUAGAAAAAGCAAAGUUCUACAUGUGGGCUAAAUUAUGUGAUAAGCUGUAAGUAUAAAUCAGGAUUAAAUGCUGAAAUGUAUUUAUUAAAUUUUAAAAGGAGGUAGGUACGUGCGUUUUAUAGUUCCCGUGGAUUUAAUUAUAUAUAAUAUAUAGAAAAUAAAAGUAUGACUGGGGAGUGCCGAAUGUCUUCUUCCAUAGAAUUCUUGUAGAUAAAUGUCUCUGCUCUUGAGUCUCAGCACUCUUUGGCAGAGAGAUCCAGUGCUGUGUGCUGUACCGAGCGGAAGGCAGGACCGUCUUACAGAGAUGGGUAAAGGAAAGCCAAUGGCGUGACUCACUGACUUAACGAGUGCGCUAGAUCUGCUCUUGGAAGUAGGUCACAGAAUCUAAAUGAUGUGGUUUGCUUGUCCCAAUGAAAGAAACCUUUGGAGAGUGAGAACUAGCUAAACCCUGUCCCUUUGGCAGUGCGGGCUGUGUUGUUUGUGAUUUUAAAGGUUACCCUAUUUUUAUUUUUAUGGAAGGGAGUGGUGUAUGUAAAUAUGAGCUCGUUCUUGGUCCUGACUGACUUCAUUGAGGUCAGAAGGUGUUGGGGAAGGAUGAUGGUGAUGGGGCACUGCAUGGCUGCUGAGGAGUUUAUAGCUGGCGCCCCUUUCCUGUGCCCAAGCUUAUGGUAUCAGCCGCUGUCUGGUGGCUCAGGAAGCUCAUUUGUGUUCCAAAAUUACUUUAGAGCAUUCUGCUCCACCGUUCAAGGAAAAGGAAAGUAGAAAAUGAGGAGAGGAACAAAAGGAAUGAAGACCUAAAUGACCUCAGCAAAUCCUCCUCUAACUCAUGGGUACCUAGACUCUAAAUAUUUCGUGAUUCACAACUAGGACCUCAUAUCUUGCUUGUCAGUAGAUGGUACGAUGCAUCCAUUUCAGUGUGUUUACUUUAUCCAAUCCUCAGGAGUUUGUUGACUGAACUGCACAUUCUAUAUUGUGCCAAGCAAAAUGAGCACUGUGACACCAGAACAAUGAGUCUGCAUAAACUUCGUCUUCAACUUUAAGGACUUAGCUGGCCACAAUGAGCUGAUGUGCCCGCCACCGUGUCUUGAGAGAAUGAGUUUACUCUCAAUGCAUUUACAAGAUACAUUUCAUCUGCUGCUGAAAUUGUGUACAACAAAGCAUCACUGUAAAUUAUUUCAUAUGAAACUGUUCACAUUGGGUGGAGAGAGUAUUAAAUAUUUAACAUAGGCUUUGAUUUAUAUGUGUAAUUUUUUAAAUGAAAAUGUACCUUUUCUUACAGCACAUAUUUUUUUUUGGAUGUAGGACUGAGGUAUACAAGUUCUGUUGUAAACAGUGGAGCAAAUGCUUAAAACAAGGCUUAAAAGAGUAGAGUAGGGUGUGUUCCUUGUUUUAAGAUUGUAAUUCAGAAAAAACAAUAAGAAUCAUAGUGCCAUAGAUGGUUCUCAAUUGUAUAGUUAUAUUUGCUGAUACUAUUUCCUGUAAUAUCAACCUGAUGUUGAGCUGAGUUCCUUAUAAGAAUUAAUCUUAAUUUUGUAUUUUUUCUUGUAAGACAAUAGGCUAUGUUAAUUAAACUGAAGAAGGAUAUAUUCGACUGGGUGUUUUCAAGUGUCAGCUUAAAAUCAGCAGUUGAAUGGAAGCAAAAUUACAAGAAGAGGAAAUCAAAGUCUUCCAUUGUAUAUAUUGUAAAGAGAAGGAGACAUGGGUAAUUCCUUCAAAUCAAAAGCUCUCUUUGGAAUGAACAAUGUGGGUGUUUGUAAAUUCUGGAAAUGUCUUUCUAUUCAUAAUAAACUAGAUACUGUUGAUCUUUUCUUUUCUCCCCUCCCCACCCCCACUUUCUGUUAGUUUCCCGCUCUAUUCCCACCAUUUUUUUUCUGUGUACACAUUAUAUUUCGUUUCCUGCAUUGUCUUGAGAAGAUGGUAAGACAAGUGAACGCUUGCUAACCAGAAAUUAAAAUUCCAGAAAGUGUUUUUCAUCGUGACCAGGGCUACAUGUCACUUUCCCUAAGACCCUUAACUCAUGUUUUUUGAGAACUUCCAGUGUUACAUUAGUUAACUGAAUGUAAUUGGCCCAUUUGCCUUGGUGGGUGCUGGCCUGUUAGUGAUUAGUUAAUAAAACACAGUGUACAGAAAGCACGUAAAAGCUUAAUGACCUGCUACUGAAACAUGUAGCCAUCAGUGAAAAUGUUAAUUCUUUUCUUGUUCGAAAGUAUACAGGUCUUGGAAUUUUUUUCCAUGAGAAAAGGAAAUGGCAAUGAAUACAUUUAAAUAUAUUUCUGACAGAUUUUUAAAUCUUUUUACCUGGAAGCUUCCGAAAAAGUUAAGUGAAAUAAUGCAAAUAUCAGGCUCCCUCUGAGUCAAUAUAAACUCUCUAUCAGGAAUUCCCAGCCCUACUAUUGGAAGGAGCAACAUUUUAUUUCUCUGAGUGCCUAAGCUCCCUGGGUGGGAGUGGGGACUACAGGGAAGGGGCCAGGGUUGGAGGGCAUUGUAGUGGCUGCUGCCUCCUGAUGAACUGUUAGGGGACCCUAGCUCUACUCAAAAGGGAGCGGAGAUAAAUGGAACCCCUCACACUGCUGAGGCCUAUGUUACUGUUCAUUCAACCACAUGGCAUGUACCUCACAGACAGUUAUGCAAUGUUCAUUGUUGCAGAUUUUAAUCAUUUGCAUGCUCAUCAAUUUCUAAGAUAAAUAGGGUCUAGAGUCAUAAGAAUCCAUUGUUUUCAAGGAACUUGCAGAAUGACAUCAUUUCCUAUUAGUAGAGAGCACUACCCAUUUGGAAAAUCUGAUAGAAAAGUUGUUUUUCACUCUUUCAUAAAAAAGACUUUCUUAGUCAAACUAACUUUUCAUGUUUUCAAGUAGUCUGAUUCAUACUCUUGCCAGUGGAAGAAGAGAGCAAGUGCCCUGAUCUGUUUCUUUGAGGACUGAAAUAGUUAAAAAGAAAUCAAUGAACAAAGUCACUACCAACCAUUUUUCUGUAAAGCUGAUUAUUAUUUCUCAAGGAACCUAUAUUUUGAAUAUCUGUUACCGAGAUACCUCUGCAUGUGUAAUUCUCAACAUGUUUUGGAUGAGGACAGGAAUGAACAGACUGGAAAAAUCUGUCUCUAUUUCUCUGACUUUUUUCUUGAGUCAAAUAGCAUAAAGGUAGAAAUUCUUAUGUAAGCUGCUUCUAGUGGUGCCUGACCUGGUUUUUAUGGUGGCAUCAAACUACCGAUUUAAAACUGGAAGUUGCUGGUACUCAAACCAAAAACUCAUGCUCUGGCGACAGGAAGAGUUUACUUUGAGCAACGUCAGCUGCUAAGUCCUUGUGUUCAGUUCCCAUUGAGGAGAGCUGGCUUUUAUCCAUUUCAAAGGGUUGUAGGCCAGCCAAGGGCUUUCAUUAUUGAGGCUUCUAGUGGCCUCUGUUUAACCUAGAAGUUAGUGGGUUUUUCUUCGUGACACCAACCUCUCAGCUUUAUUUCUUAGAGACUUAGGUGGAGUUUAAAAAUUCUCUUUUGUGAAAAGAACAAAUAUAUUUCACGACUUUGAUGAUAUCUUCAUUCUGGGCAAAAGAAUGGCCCUAGAACCAGCUAGAAGUGAAGAGAAUCCAUUAAUGAUCAACCACCUGAGUCAAUAAUGACAAAUCAGUACUGAUGUUACAUUUGUGGCUAUUUCUCACUGACUUUCAAAGGUCAGGGACUCCCUUGACUAAUCUAGUGACUGCAAAAAUGGAGCUACUAAAAAUCAUCUAGCCAGAAGUAGAGAUUUUUAACCUUUCUUUCUCUGGCUUUUGUAUUCUAGCUGUCACAUAAAUUUGAGACAUUUAAAGUAUUAAGAAAUAAUUUUUCUGUACAGUAAGAAACAAUAUUUUACAAACUGAAGCGCUGUUUUAUUCCAUCUUGCAUCCUGAAUGCAAUAUACCACGAAGUUGGAAACCUUAAUUUUAUUUACUGCAGGUGGUUAAAAAAAGGGGGGAUGGGUUUCACUAUCCACAGACAAUGACAACCAUGAAAAAUAGUCUCCAUACGCAUUGUUCCAGCUGCUGGUGACAGUGAUCCUAUAUUUGGUCUCAUGCUACUUUUGCAGAGAGCUCUGUAGGUCAGUCCAUCACACAAGGAGGCCCUGAAUCCAGACACUGUGAAUUAAGACCUUGACUGGGAAGACACAUGACCCGUUUGGUAGGCAUGGGAAGGAGAAUUGGUGGAAGCCAAUAUGAAAUUUCUUCUUUGCAAUGACUUGACAGGGCAGUUAAUGUUCCUAGAAUGCCAUGAAUGAUGAAUGUUAGUUGGAAGUAAUGCUGUAUAUGUAUGUAUAUAUAUACAUAUAUAGGGGGCAUGCACACGUGCACGUGUGUAUGUGUAUAGGCUGGUAAGAAACUCGAGAGGAAGAAACAUGCUCUUCUAGAAAUGUGAGGAAAUAUGACCUUGCCAAGACUAAAAGACCUCCAUACUGUGAGCUCAGUUAUGGAGAACAAAAACAACAUCCUAGGCAGUAGAACGAUGAUAAACACUGGUGCCGUGCAUCAUGUCUAAGGCAGUGCCACAGAACUUCAUGGUCCUUCCAUAGUUCUGUAAGUUAGUUUCCUAAGUUUGGGUAAAGAAUGUGUAGCCUGUUGUGUGUCUCAGCUUUGGAAGAGAGCAUCAGAUUAGGUGCAGGGAGGAGGUGGAAUGAUAUUGGAGGUGCUUAACCCUACUCGAGGAAUUUAUGAAUAAAGAGCUUAUAUUUAGCUAGUAUGAUUAGAAAACACGUAAUUAGGUGGAGAGUUAUCUUUCUUUUCUAGUUUGUCAAUGACUUGGCAUUUGUGACGUAUACACCGAAAGAUCUGGUGUUUUAGAGUUCUGCCAUUCACCUGGCAUUUAAAUGUCUGUUUGCUUAUGCUGUUAAUUUUUCCAGUGUUAACCAAUAUGCCAUAUGAUAGGACAAAUUCAGUAAACAGGAAAACUUGUCUGUAUGUGCAUAGACAUUUGUAGAGAUUUUUUUUUCUCUUUAGAACUUUGCCAUUGGCUUAAGAAUGUAGUUCCCACAAUUUUUUCUUGCAAAGUACUUUCCUUACACCUGUUGGCUAUAGGGUGGGCCAAAUUAAACACAUAUGUAUUUUCAUUUAAUGUGUGUGGAGUUUGGUUUAUCAUCUUAAGAUGGUGGUGCUGCUCCCGGUGCUACUUCAUAUGUGUACACAAAGACCAAUGCAUGGUCUGUAUUGCUACCAAAACAUUUACUGUAUAUAUGUGUAUAACAUGUAUUAUGUACAUAUGUAAUGGGUACCAGGCCAGGUAUAUAAUUUUUAUUUAGAAGUGUUUCACUUUUCCAAGUUUUCUUUAUAGUGUUAUGCUUAUUUUCAUUUUUUUUUUCCUGAUUCUGUCUGGUACUUAGAAUUGUAGUGUCUUCAUCAUCAAUUAAAGAAAAUUGUCUAAAUGAA